GCUUGCAUUAAUGCCGUCUUCAAAGAGAAAUUGAAUAGUUAGUUCAAGAGAGAGAAAUAAUAUCUCUUACUUAUGUGUUUGGUUUCUAUUUCUGAUAAUUGACAAUUAGGAAAAUCCAAAUUCAGUCAUCAGAUUCUUUGCGUGAUUUGGAGACCACUAAAUUUUAAUUCGCAUUCCCAAUCAGUCCCUGGCUUCCAUUUCCAAUUCCGAAUUCCCGAAUCGAUGCUAUUCUCAAAUAGAACCACAAUUUGACAAAAUCACAUUUCAAUUCUAUCGAAUGAUACAUAUCUGGCAAAAAAACCGAAAAUCCACUGAAAAAAGAAAAUUCAUAGAAAAAGGUACCUGGC
rnacentral:misc_RNA from 1 species